CAUCCUUGAUAAAUGGGGGGGAAAACCGAUUUUAAACCAGUCUUUACCUGCAGAGAAAUACCAAUUUUCCAAGUUUCCAAUUAAUAGAAACUCAAGUAGAUGUGCAAAAAAGCAUUUUGGAUGUCUGUUUGGAUUUUGAAUUCAUAGUCAUGAAUGAAGCUAUUACACAAUUGGAAAAACAGCCGAAGCUAAAGCUUAAAUUUCUUGACUUUUGCCAUUUCUGUGCCUAUACAGCUCGCCGCCCCCCGGCUGACCUGCACUACACAUGAUAACAAAGGAUCUCUUGAUUAGCGACUGUUUCUCCUGGUAGGAGCACGUGGUUACACACUAAUUGUUUAACUUGUGUUGACUUGCUUUGAGUCAACACAACAGCGCCCUAUCAUCUGCCCCAGAGGUUGAUUAAACAUUAAAAAGAUGAUACGCAGCUUCCUAUAAGCAGUCGUGUUUUCUCCGGGUUAGAGAAGGCACUGGGUGUAUCUGCGCCUGCAUGCCCACCUGUGUUGCAUUCAUGCUCUGGGCUUGCUUACUCUGCAUUCUAAUUCCUUUGAUUGAACUUCAUCUUAGAGCACCUAUACAGCUUGAUCAGGGUCAGAGGAAAUGGUACUUUAGCAAACAAAAAUCACCUACGGAAAGCUUUGAUCGCUUGAAGACAAAAAAUAAUGAAAACAUCCUCGGGGUUAGUCCCUUCUCUAUAGGGAGGGAGUAAUCCACAGAGGGGAGGGGUUUAUUCCAAAAUGGAGAUAUCCACCACUUAUGACAUGAUUAGAAAAAUGAGCGAUGGUGGAAAUGGCGCUCACAAGCUAAGAGAAUGAUUGGACCAACUGACCGGAACCUUUGAAUUCAAUAUUGUGACACAUUAUGCCUCAGGUAAGGGUUUAGUUAUAAGAUGAUACACCCCGGGCAAAUACGUCCUCUUCAAUAUGUGUUUCCCAUACCAUUAUAACAGGUGUUUUUUCCUUCAUGUAGAGGUUGACCAGAAGUUAGGGGGGCAAGCCUGCUUGUUUUAGCUUCCUCAGGAAAUAGAACCUCUGCUGGGAUUUCUUUACCAGGUGUGAUGUGUUCAGAGACCAAGUGAGGUCUUUAGUAAUAUGGCGUCCCAGGAAUUUGAUGCUGUUCACCCUCUCCUCCUCCUCCUCCCCACUUAGAGUAGAGUGGAGAGGGUGUGGUCUUCCUGGAUCUCUCAGUACUGUGACUUCCUUGGUCUUGGUGGGGUUCAGGACCAGGUUGUUGUCUGAGCACCAUUCAGCCAGAUGUUGGACCUCAUGUCUGUAGUGCGUCUCAUCAUUGUUGGAGAUCAGUCCCACCACAGUGGUGUUGUGGGCAAACUUCAUGAUUGUGUUGAAGGAAUAGGUGGGGCGAGCAGUCCUGGGUAAAGAGGGUGAAGAAGGCCGGCCUUGGCACACAGCCCUGCGAUGCACCAGUGUUCAACAUGGCGGUUGUUGAUAUAAGGUUCCCUAUACUCACAUUCUGUCGUCUGUUUGAGAGAAAGUCAAGAAUCCAUGAACAGUGAUGUAGAAAGAGGUGUUUGCGUUUAUGCACCAGUUUAUGGGGAAUGGUGGUAUUGAAGGCCAAGCUGAAGUUAUUGAAGAGUAUCCUGAAAUAUGUGUUUGGGUGCUCCAGGUGAGACGGGGCUACUAAAAAGCCAUUAAACUGAUAAAACCAUUUUUAAUUUUGAAUGGCUUCGAAAUCAUUAUAUUACAUGUUUCCUUUGCUAUUUAUGAACAACUAUCAAAUUAAGAAAGAGCCUCCAGUCAAUCAAGAAUGAAAGACGGAACUCUAGAUGAAUCACAUAGGAAAGAAACAGCAUUAUGUUCUUGAACCCUCUCGCCUUGCCAGAGGCGUGUACCUGCUUUGUCUGAAUCACAGAGAUUCUACAUAUCAGAGACACUCUGCUGUCAACACUAGUCUCUUAACACUGUGAGCUUGAAUAUGCCCUUUAGUCUCAGCCAAAGGUUUAGUCUAUUUUUGAUUCGUUUUUCUUUCUAGCAUAGAAACAUUCAAUAGCGUAAGACCCACUAAAAAGUAAAAAAACAAACAAGCUUAGAUGCUGACCUUUUAUCAAACCACAUAUAUAAGUGUCAUGUAUUCAAAAUUAAAUGGAAGACAUUUUGGGAUAUACCAAAACUACUCACCCCAUCUAAUCUUUGUAAAUUAAACUUUUACAUUCGUAGUUAGCUUUGGGCAACGCUGCAUUACCAGAAUGCAAUUAGUUUGUUGUGUGUCAGUAUGCAUUUUGGGUCAAGUUUAGCUUUAAUUAACUUUCAGGCCAACAUAGCUUUAGGCGCAAGUGUGGCCAUUAACCUCAAAUAGAGCCCCAAGCGCUGCUGUACCUAUUUACCUUCUCAGAGCGGCUAACUUGUCUACUCUUUAACUUUUAAUGUAAUGCAUUAAAAGCAAAGGUGCAACUUUCAUUUAGUUUACUAAAGGUAUGGUGAUUUGUUUCUACCUAACAAAUCAGUAUCUAGUACUGCCAAAAAAUUAAAAACCUUUCUAUCAAACUCUUUGUGAAGAACCUUGUGCUUCCUACAUUUCCUCGUCUCCUAACCACAAAUGAUCCAAGGCGCUAUUUCAACACGCAGUGUUUUUUUUGUGUGGUCUUUGUACACUGCACUUUGAUCGAGUUGAUGUGUUAACAAGCGUUGAAACUAUAAAUGCGCGGAUGUGCUUGCUGGAAAAUGCCCUGUUAGUCGGAAAAAGGGGCUUUAGGGCUGCGACAACGAAUCAAUGAAAUCGAUAAAAUUGGAUUAUUAAAAUCGUUGGCAAAAAAUUUCAUUAUCGAUUCGUUGUGUCGCGUGACUAUUACGUCACUCAAUGAGUCGCGGAGAUGCAAGCAGAGCAAAAAUAAAAGCGCCGAGCCGCCAGUUAUUGUAAGUCACAUGACGCAGAUCACGUCUGUUCGACUAGUCGUCCAAGGUUUGCGAGCAUUGGGGGGGGAACAUGGCAUGGGAGCACCACGUUGUCCCGUUUUGACGCUGGAGGCUUGUCAUCCAGCGGAUCAAGCUAGCGUUAGCUCGCUAAUAACAGCAGUAAAGCAGUUAGCAAGACUAAGACACGUUUUUUAUUUAAACAUUAAUUUUUCUGUAAAUAAAUCUGUUUUCUUCUAUAUACAGUAUUUCAUGCUUUGUCCCAUAUCGGUUAUUGUGGACAAAUGUAUUUGUGUGUGUUGUACUUUUUAAUGCUGUCAUACGGUAGUCCAGUGCGCUUGCACAUUUACUGUGGGUUAUACGGUAGUUGGUUAUGCCUGUAAAGGGAGACACGGUGAUUUUUUUGCUCUAUACAUUUACUUAACUUGCACUACAAUGAUGGUAAUAAUUUAAUGAAUAAGCUUCAAGUGAACAUGCGGGUGUGUUUGUGAGUGUGAGAGUUUGAGUGUAGUAUAGAGAACAAGUUCUAACGUCAAAACAUCCUGUGUAUUUUUCUUUUUUAUACUUUUAUUACUUAGUUAUUUAGUAUUUUUGAAAUGUGAAUUUGCAGUUCUGUUUUAGAAUAAAGGGAUGGAAAUUAAAGCUUUUUAAUACUGUUUUUUUCAUCCAUCCAUAUUCAUCGAUUAAUCUAAGAAAUAAUCGUCUGAUUAAUCGAUUUAUCAAAAUAAUCGUUAGUUGCAGCCCUAGCUAACAUCAUUCUUUGGUAACCAUAUCUUCAUCCACGUCGAGGAGAAGGUGAUGACAGAGGGUAGACUCACACAGUGGGUGGACGGACAAACAUCAAUGAGCUGCUAACAGCUCUGCAGGGGUAGCCGUGGCAGAGCUGAGUUUAUAGGCAUAGGCCUUGAGGGGGAUCUUUGUCUGGCGUUGCAGGAGCUCUAAGCUCUUGCUGAACCAAACCAUUCACCCCUUAAGGGCCUUAAAUGUUGGUCCGAAAAGAAAAGUAGAGUGUUCUUGUAAUAGAUGGUCAGGGGCAUAGUGGUCCAUUGUGUUUGCCUUGCAGGUGACAGCUACAGUGAUGGGGUCAAAUGAGACUGGAAUAGGCAGUCCAAUUGCCCCUGUGAGUGAGGUUGAGAAUGUGAGUGUUUGUGGAUGUGAAAGCUGGAGACUGACCUCUGAGCUCAUCAGGUUUUCUGUAAGCUGUGAAGAGGCUUUUUUCUUUGUAUGGUGGGUGGGUGGGUGUGUGCGUGGUGUUGAACACUGAAAAUGUAGCAAAUGCAACCAUAAAUGUCUAGUAUGGUACACAAGACAAAUAUCAAUAGCAACUCAUCAGGAGGAUGAAGCGAGGGGUUGACUGAGGCGAUAAAAACCUGGGAUAUGCUGGGAAGUAGCAGUUAACAGUAUGGAGUAAAAUGGAAGUCAAUACAGGUCAACUGAACUGGUGUGUCAGUGUUUAAAAAGCACAUCGACCGCUUUUCAAAAGUUUGCCACAGCUGGAUGUUUCAGUCAUCUGAACAUGUUUCCCCUGACUAUGAUACAAUAACAGCUUUUCAAAACUUCCCAGCAUAUUUAUCCCAACAAUUAGAUAAAUAACACACAUAAAAAUCACUUUGCUUUUUUAACCUGUGUAGUGUCCGCAGGAUACUGAAAUUAAUAUUGGGUUGAGGUCUAGGGUCAUUGGGAGAGAUUAGGAAAUAACUGAUUUCCGAGAUUAUAUUGAAGCAUAUAAAAAUAGGAAAGCAAUAUAUUUUCAUGUGAAAUUUGUGUGAAACCACAGUUCCAUUGAAAUGUAAAUGUAUCCUUGUAUUGUCUGUGUGCCUUCAGUUUGUUCCUUUUAAGAUCAAGUUCCCUUAAGUUCAAGUUCCUUCCUUUUUUUCUUUAACAGUCCAUUCAAAUAGACAGUCAAUUAAUUUCAAAGUAAUUCAAAGUUGUCCCUUGUCAGCGAGAGUUCAAUAUGCUAUAUCCAGAAGCUGAAGGUAUUCAUGGAACCUCAGAAACCCUGACUUUAGAAAAUAAGGCAAUUACUAUCAUGACAUUUCCAUUUAUGUUAUGACCAGAGUCGGAAAUACACAAGGGGAAAGGGCAAAAUUGUCCCCAAGAAAUAUAAUUUUGCCCCCGAUAUCACAAGGAGAGGGGCAAUUAAAUGCCUAUAAUUUCCUCCAACAAUAAUUACAAUUUAGUUAACUUGUCAAAAACAUCAUAGCCUUUAUGACCCCAUCCAAGUGCCAUAGAAUGUUUUGAUUCUCGCAUUGACUAAUGUUGCAUCUGCCGGAAGAAUCAAAUGUUCUCAAAAAGAGUGCUUCCUAAUCAGACUUGUGAGUGCAGGAGAUCAAAUCCAUUCUCCGUCACCGUCUCUGGUUCAAAAGAAAAAAUCCAUGCACCCAAGAUGGAUUAUUUUGGGUUGGAGAAAGACAACAAGAGAACCACCCGCAUUUUUUGCAAGGCUCUCGAUGGACUUGAACUUGCCGACAACAAACUGGCAACGUCGUUGUCAACGGCGAAUUAUUUUGACUUAAAGAAAUACCCGUCCUUCCGACACCAGGCGACCGACGUACCAUCGCCUACAGUGAGUAAUAGCAAGUUAAGUAUUCAUUAUUUUGAAAUGAUUUAGUUAGCAAACAUUAGCUAGCUCUUAUUAACAUUUGCUACAAAAGCUAGCUAGCAGUCGAGUGCAGUCAGGGUAAAAUACAAUUAGUUGAGACUGCAGUUGACUCAAGGUUAAAAUGUUUCAUUCUUUAAAGCUAUUAUAUGCCAGACCUGGACGCCUGUAAUUUGAUGUUUCCGGUCUUUUUUUUGUCGAUAACCUGUGAAACGUAAGUGAUGUUAAUUCAUACAUGUCAACGAAUCUACAUGUCAAAUCUCAUGAAUAUACUGUAACUUUGAUGAGAGAAAGUAGUAAAACUCACUACGGGACGAUUUCAUAUUUUAAGGGACGGGUGGAAACCCUAGUCAUGGUACUCAGUAAUAUGGUCACAUGACAGAACAUGGCACAACGGUCACAUUGAAAGAGGAGUAAAGAUAUUACGGUAGCAAAUUGGUAUGUUUUUAAAGAAGGUUGAGCUCUUAGGAAUACAUACAUUAACAGAAAGCAUAACUAACCCCACCCAUUUCAGACAUUUUGCUGAUGACAGAUACAGUACAUGUCAUCUGUUGCAACACACCCAUGAUCAAACAUGGAGAAAAAGCACAGGCAGUAUUGUUGGUGACGAUACAGAGACCAGUCAGGGCCUAAAGUAAGCCGCGAUCAACAGACGGGCAGUGCGUUCUUCGCUUCCCUCUAAUCAAAGUCAUCUUCCCAUGCGAACAACUAAUCCUUCUAUGUGUACCGUUGUGAAACCAACACUGGGCCGUGCACCUUCAUGUAAGCUCCUUUGUAUCAGUGCAUGUGCAGAUUGCCUUUUCAUGCAUGAUCUCAUAAAAACAACAGCAAAGAUAAAAGAAAACUACAUCCUGGCAUUCGCAUUCAUCCCACAUGGUUUUCUUACACCUCGAGUGUAGUCGCUAUGCGUGUUGCUCACUAAUGCAAAAUUCCUGAAAUUCAUCUUUGAAAAGAUUAAACAAGACGGGUUCUCAUCCAGCCUAACUUGUUGGGAGUACGAUUCAUGUAUGUGUGACAUCGGAAAUGCACGAUCCAAAGAAAACUUUAGUAGUUACACUUAAUAAAAGUGUUGAUUUGACCAAAAUCCUCUGACCAUCUGAUAAUGGCCGAGAUGGGUUUACAUUAGAGUUAGUGAAUACACAAGGCAAUAUCAAUAUCUAAUGUUUAAUGUUUGUGCAGAUCUAAAGCAACUUAAUACAGUGUCUGGCUAUUGAAUACAGAAGAAUAUGUUGCAACUCAAGAGCCAGAUAUUACCUACGAGUAAUGCAGCUAAAAGGGCAUGAAGCGACAUGCCCCUAAAGAAAGACUAACGUUAAUAACUGGCUGCUAUUUUUUAAGUUAAUUAAUAAGUUAAUUUCUUGGGAACACGUUUCUUUAUAACUUCACAGCCUUCUAUAAUGUCAAUGUUGUAUUUACAACCUUGUCUGCGGUCCCCAACUAGCCCAGGUUUGCGAAUAAGCUGAGGUUUUAAUCAACUGUGUUGUGAAAUAGUGCUGGGUAAACUGCACAAAUGUGAGCGAGUUUUGCACUGUUGUGCCUUGGCCUGAAUACAGUGAACGAGCAGUUUUAUCACAAGACAGAUGUUAACUUGUUGCAAGCAAGCAUGCAAAAUACAGGGAAUGACUCCCAGACACAACUGGUCGUCUCCUGAAUCUGUUCUUUUACAGACACCAAACCUGUGUGAUAAUCAUGCAGGUUAAUGAGCUUCUUCUGGAGCCUCACAAAUGUCUUUUAUCUCGGAAAAGGUCUUGACUAAGAUUUCCAAAUUGGUGACUAACAAUUUUCAGGAAUCACUAUUUUUUGUUACAAAAGAAAAGCCAUGAAGAACUGGGGCUAUAACUAAAGUUUUUUGUUUUUAAAUGCAACCUUAAUGCACAUCAGUUCCAGCAGAUUAAAAAGAAUGCAGUUACAACAUCACACCGACAUUAGACCAAGUUGAGUGGCUCAAAUGCUCAAUUGUAGAAUCGUGGAUCUUCCUCGCAUGUCCAACUCAUUUCCAUGAAACCCUUAAGUGAGCCCUUGAGGGAGCCUUUUUAAAGUGUCUAGCUACUGGAGAUCUUUUUAGCGCAGCUUUUAAUAUUAUGCAUUCAGUAAGACAUAUCAUGAAUUAUGUUUUGACUUUUAAACAAAGUAGAAGCCACAUGGGCACUUUUUAAUAAAGUGUAUUUUGCUACUGCAGGUUAUUCAGCCCCACACUUUCAUCUUCCUCACUGAACGGAGAUUAAGAAAAGAAUCCCUCUUAAUCACUGCUUUGAUAUUGGUACAGUUCUUUUCCACAGGGAACCACCUCAUUGCAGGGAGUUGGGGAGGUACAAACUCAUCUGCUCUUAGAAGAAUAUCCAGGUGAUUAGUGGAAUAUUGGUGGAAAUCUAAGUUUUGUCCCAUAACAGUGCUGAACAGAUGGGCUGUAGACUAAAUAUGUGCUUUUGCAAUUUAAGCUGUUGCAUCUUGCGAGGCGGAGCACAGGUGGACACAAAUAUCGGUUCCUGCGUUAGCUGUCUCAGCCUGAGGCGUUUCACAUGCAUUUAUCUGGUGACUGUCAUAGCCUUUAUAUGUGAUUGCUCCACAGGGAAGAAGCUUGUGUAUCAAAGUCAUGCAACCAAUUAUCUGCAGCAAAAUCUCUUUGCGCUGGCAUGAGCCUUUGUCUUCCUGUGAAGAUAGGGAAUCGAAUGCUCUGCGGCCACCAUCGCAGAGCAUAUGGCCAAAUGACAAUUCAUCAUACAAAAUUCAAAGCAUUCAGGUUACUAUGCAAAGGUCAGAUAAAUAAAAAGAUGAUUUGAAACAGGAGAUCGAUCUCGAAGUGUUUUUUUGCCUUUAUUGUAUUGCCUAUACUGAAAAGGCAUAUAUUGAAAUAUAUUUACAUGAACUACAAAUUGUCUGUCCAAUAGAAUUUCCAACUAGCAACAGUAGAGGAAACCAGCAGGAAAUUUAACAAUUUAGGGCACUCUAUAUACACACACUAGUAUCGUGGGUAUGAUCCAUUUUAUGCAGGGUUUGGCACAUAACCAAUCCUGGUUUCAGAAACCUGAUCCCGGCUUUGAGAAACUCAGGCGUGCUAGGAGAAGCAACUCUAAUAGAAACCAAUAAACGGUGGCAUUUCAACUUAUAAAGGUUUAUGUUAAAUCUGGAUGAAUACAAAAUGAGUUGCUGAGAUGUUUACAAAUUAAGACACAACUGCACCCAGAUAACAUAAAAAUUGGAUCGAGUACAUAAGGAUGGGCAUCAUCAAGUGUCCCGUGUAAAUGUCAUGUCCUGAUAUCUAACUAUGAAUCAUGCUUUACGUCUCUGGAGUCAGUGAGCAAUGAGCGGGUCUCAAGUACACUGUCAGCAGGACUUCCGAGGGCUGAGCAGUCAGCUGCAACACCAGGAGCAGCAAUCGGCCCGUUCUGAGCGACAAGGGACUCAAUACCGGAAAACAAACGUGCAUGUAAACAAACUCAACAAUUCUGAAUCAGAUUACUCAUACUUUUUUAAUUAAGAAGCUUUAAAACAGCAAUUACUUAAUAAAAUAUAAAUAGUGGAUUGUUAAAAAAAAUUUUUUUUCUCAACUGCUUUGUGCAGGAUGAAUUCCAGACACCAGCCCAAAAACAAAGCAGGACAAGAAAAUGUAAUUUUCUGAAGAGUUCCCAUCGGGAGAGACUGAAAAGGCAGAUGCCGCCACGGUGGAUGUCCCACUUUUUGACUGCACACGGGUGAUCUAAUGCUGGUUAAUUAUGGCUGCACUACCACUACCUCCCAAUAUGAAUUAUUCGGAAUUUUCUAGUAAAGGGUAUGAAACAUGUUAAUUACAUGACAGAAGACUGGAGUGGAAGGUGCACAGGGUCUUUCAUGGCUGGAGAGAUUUCCCCUUUUUUUUCCUGUGCAGUAGUUUGUGUGAGUGAGUUUGUGUAUUUCACUAUGAACCAUGAGGUUUUAAUCCGUCCAAUAAAACUGCUCCCCAGUGCAGCAGCAGAUCGCUUAGAAGGCUGUAAAAAUUUGAUGCGUCUCUCGUCAGGAUAGAUUUAGCGUCCUGUACUCCGUAAAUCGGCCACCAUCGCAGAGCAUAUGGCCAAGUGCUGAGUGACAGAUCUCAAUCCUGAUUUAUUUAUCAUUCUCAUAAAGUCAGGACAGGCAAUCCAGCAAUAUUUCUGUUCAUGCAUUAUAUGCUGGGAGAUAUUAAGCUACACACAGAAAAAAAGGUGCCAACUGUAACCAAUAAUGGUGUUUCGGAGUGAUGCCAUAGGAGAACCUUUUUUGGUUCCACCAAGAACCUUUCAGACCAUGUUUCUUUAAAGAACAAUGUCCUUAAAGAACCCAAAGAACCUUCAGAUAAUGGUUAUUUGAAGCACCAUUUCUGG
ensembl:lncRNA